rnacentral:tRNA from 1 species
UUAGCUCAGUGGGAGAGCACUUGCUUGACAGGCAAGGGGUCGUUGGUUCAAGUCCAAUA